rnacentral:rRNA from 1 species
GUGCCAGCCGCCGCGGUAAUACCGGCAGCCCAAGUGAUGGCCGCUGUUAUUGGGCCUAAAGCGUCCGUAGCUGGCCGCACAAGUCCGUCGGGAAAUCCGCCCGCUCAACGGGCGGCCGUCCGGCGGAACCUGUGUGGCUUGGAACCGGAAGGCUCAGAGAGUACGUCCGGGGUAGGAGUGAAAUCCCGUAAUCCCGGACGGACUACCGAUGGCGAAAGCACUCUGAGAAGACGGCUUCGACAGUGAGGGACGAAAGCUCGGGUCUCAAACCGGAUUAGAAACCCCGGUAGUCC